rnacentral:RNase_MRP_RNA from 2 species
UCCGCGCUCAAAGAAUCGCAUUCAAAGCUCACGCACAGCAGUGCCCUUGUGGUCUGCAUACCCUUUACAGCUUUGGGAGAAAGUCCCCGGACCACCCUACCCUUUGACUCUGUCAAGGAACGUCAGGACUUGCCGCGAGGCGCCGCCAUAAAAGCAUUUUCACUGCGGCUCUUAUUUUACACUCUGCCUCCCACUCUCCUUUAGCACGCCUGCUUCGACGACCCCGACCUCGUCGUCGUUUGUACUCCUCGUCGAUUUCUGCCUUGUCGCCAUGUCCGAUGCAGAUGGGUGUCUGGAUGGAUGAAGAUAUGAGUCCGUCCCUUGGGUUUCGGCUAGACAUCUCGAUGUGGAAGAUUGGUGUACUUUGGUUUGAGGUCGCAGGAAGAGAUGGCGAGGGUUUAUACUGGGGGUUGUUGAGUGGGAUUGUGCUUUUGGAUCAAAGAGUGAUUUUGGAGGUUGCGCAAUUCGUCACAUGAGUAUAGUUAUGCGAUUGCUCGGUCCAUCUGGAAACAGGUGGCGGAGUAACUCGAUGGGGCUUAUUCUUGAGGCGCGG